ACUAGAGCACUAGAAGUUUUACUUUGUACCUGCCAAGUGUUGAAGCACCACGUUGUGGGCAGGGUGACAGACUGCUCUGAGAGCAUGCCAGAUUGGGAAAGAAAGAGGCAGCUGCCUGGAUAUAACAAAUGAAGUGUGCCACAGAAAGAAGGCAGGAGACCUUGGAAGCUUUAUUGGUAUCACUGGAUGUGGCAGUAGCAAGGACUUGCUAAGAAAUUUCUAGCUCAAAAACCAUAAAAGCUCAAGAUCCCAGAAGGUCAGCUCUGAAUCCUGACUUUCCAAUGUGAUAAGAUCUCUCCGUCUUGGAUUUCAGCUCAUCCACUCUAGAAAUAAAGACCCAAGGAUAAGA